rnacentral:rRNA from 1 species
UACAGAGGGUGCGAGCGUUGUCCGGAAUCACUGGGCGUAAAGGGCGCGUAGGCGGGAUGGCAAGUCGGUCGUGAAAUCUCUCGGCUCAACCGAGAAACGUCGGCCGAUACUGCCGUUCUUGAGGGAUGCAGAGGAGACUGGAAUUCCCGGUGUAGCGGUGAAAUGUGUAGAGAUCGGGAGGAACACCGGUGGCGAAGGCGGGUCUCUGGGCAUUUCCUGACGCUGAGGCGCGAAAGCGUGGGGAGCAAACGGG